rnacentral:tRNA from 1 species
GCCGCUGUAUAGCAGUGGUUAGCUUGUCGCCCUCCGAUGGUGAUUUGAUGCAAUUAGACCCGGGUUCGAAUCCCGGCAGCGGUG